GUCAUGUCAUAGGGUUUUACGUGCACAUUCAGAACAAGCUGUUGUAGCGCGUGAUAACUUCCCGGUGUAUUUAUACGGAACGUCCGCCAUUAACAAUGAGUACCGCGCUUGGCCGACAGUAUUCUAACAGACUGAAAAAGGAACUGGCAGCUCUUCAAAAAAGUCCUCCACCAAGUAUUUCCGUGUCUUUGGAAUCCGACAACCUGCAUGUGUGGGAAGCCAUUAUAGAAGGGCCGCCGGAAUCAUUAUACAAAGGUGGCAGAUUUAAAGUUCGUGUGACCAUACCGUAUCCUUGAACGUCGUGAGUUACGAAUAUAUAGUAUAGAAGUAAGGUUUUGUAUCUUUUACAUAAGAAGGGUCACAUAUAAGUUAAAACACUUUGAAUUAGUUUCUGGCAGUGAUAUGUAAAAUACAUACCUUUUUAUAUGUUAUAGUAAUAUUUUGAAACUAACACUAGUGAUUUAGUGAAACUGAUGAAAGAAUUUCGUUAAUUACACCUAAUAGUUUCAUUCGUAGAGUUUUACCUUUAUUAAUUUUUUGAUAAUAUUUCGUUAAUGUACUUCCAUGUUCAUUUAUGUCAUGUUUAUGUGAUGCAAUUGUCUUAUUACUACUGAUAUAAAUAUUUACAAUUGGACAGAUUAAAGGAUUUAAUUUUAACACCCUGCAAUGCAAC